AUUGAACGCUGGCGGCAGGCUUAACACAUGCAAGUCGAACGAUGAUUAUCUAGCUUGCUAGAUAUGAUUAGUGGCGGACGGGUGAGUAACAUUUAGGAAUCUGCCUAGUAGUGGGGGAUAGCUCGGGGAAACUCGAAUUAAUACCGCAUACGACCUACGGGUGAAAGGGGGCGCAAGCUCUUGCUAUUAGAUGAGCCUAAAUCAGAUUAGCUAGUUGGUGGGGUAAAGGCCCACCAAGGCGACGAUCUGUAACUGGUCUGAGAGGAUGAUCAGUCACACCGGAACUGAGACACGGUCCGGACUCCUACGGGAGGCAGCAGUGGGGAAUAUUGGACAAUGGGGGCAACCCUGAUCCAGCCAUGCCGCGUGUGUGAAGAAGGCCUUUUGGUUGUAAAGCACUUUAAGCAGGGAGGAGAGGCUAAUGGUUAAUACCCAUUAGAUUAGACGUUACCUGCAGAAUAAGCACCGGCUAACUCUGUGCCAGCCGCCGCUGUAAUAC
rnacentral:rRNA from 1 species